rnacentral:rRNA from 1 species
UGGGGAAUUUUGGACAAUGGGCGAAAGCCUGAUCCAGCAAUGCCGCGUGUGUGAAGAAGGCCUUCGGGUUGUAAAGCACUUUUGUCCGGAAAGAAAUCCUUGGCUCUAAUACAGUCGGGGGAUGACGGUACCGGAAGAAUAAGCACCGGCUAACUACGUGCCAGCAGCCGCGGUAAUACGUAGGGUGCAAGCGUUAAUCGGAAUUACUGGGCGUAAAGCGUGCGCAGGCGGUUUGCUAAGACCGAUGUGAAAUCCCCGGGCUCAACCUGGGAACUGCAUUGGUGACUGGCAGGCUAGAGUAUGGCAGAGGGGGGUAGAAUUCCACGUGUAGCAGUGAAAUGCGUAGAGAUGUGGAGGAAUACCGAUGGCGAAGGCAGCCCCCUGGGCCAAUACUGACGCUCAUGCACGAAAGCGUGGGGAGCAAACAGGAUUAGAUACCCCUGGUAGUCCACGCCCUAAACGAUGUCAACUAGUUGUUGGGGAUUCAUUUCCUUAGUAACGUAGCUAACGCGUGAAGUUGACCGCCUGGGGAGUACGGUCGCAAGAUUAAAACUUAAAUGAAUUGACGGGGUCAUAGCUGUUUCCU